GCAGAAUUCAAAGGGAAAUUAGAACCCUUAAAGCAUACGUGCACGAAAUUUCGGUGGUACAAAAAAAGUUAAAAACGAUUAUGAAGAUAGAAAGAAGUGCGCAAUACGUCAGUAGGAAAACUUUCCGAGAGGAAUAUAAACUCCAGCUGCCAUUCAAAAAUCUGGAGGAUUUUCAAUUAUUUGAUGGGCGGCUUGCAACAGACGAAAAAUACUGUCAUCGAUUCAAAGCCAGUCUUCAUUUCACCAUGAGCAUUGGACUUCGCAGAGCCUUGAACAAUACGUUAAAAAAGUACUUCUACAGAAAUUUAAUGAUGAACUUCACUGCCGUUAAAAAGUGGUUAACAUAACUUCUGCACACACUUACUAACUGUUAUUUGUUCUAAGUUUGAAAUGUCGGAGGAGGAAGUCGACCUGGACCUGCUUCGGCCAGAUCAAAAUUUCUGCGCGGGUUAAAUGGAAUUAGAAAUGUUAUUUCUGACAUCGAAGUUCAAAUUUUAUCUUAGCUUUAGGGUAAACCUAGCCCAAAAUAUUCUAUACUAAUGAUAUAAUAAUCUCUAAGAUUUAUUAAUUU